rnacentral:rRNA from 1 species
AUACGGAGGGUGCAAGCGUUACUCGGAAUCACUGGGCGUAAAGCGCGCGCAGGCGGCCAUUUAAGUUGGAUGUGAAAGCCUACGGCUCAACCGUAGAACUGCAUCCAAAACUAUUUGGCUAGAGUGUGGGAGAGGAAGAUGGAAUUAGUUGUGUAGGGGUAAAAUCCGUAGAGAUAACUAGGAAUACCAAAAGCGAAGGCAAUCUUCUGGAAAAUUACUGACGCUGAGGCGCGAAAGCGUGGGGAGCAAACAGGAUUAGAAACCCUAGUAGUCC